UACGGAGGGUGCAAGCGUUGUCCGGAAUCACUGGGCGUAAAGGGCGCGUAGGCGGCUCGGUAAGUAGGGGGUGAAAUCCUGCGGCUUAACCGCAGGGCUGCCUUCUAAACUGUCGAGCUCGAGCACGGUAGAGGCAGAUGGAAUCCCGGUGUAGCGGUGGAAUGCGUAGAGAUCGGGAAGAACAUCAGUGGCGAAGGCGGUCUGCUGGGCCGUUGCUGACGCUGAGGCGCGACAGCGUGGGGAGCAAACAGG
rnacentral:rRNA from 1 species